GUGCUCGCUUCAGGAGCACAUGUACUAAAAUUGGAACAAUACAGAGAAGACUAGCAUGGCCCCUGCGCAAGGAUAAAAGACAUUGUUGAAUUUACAGUGAUGU